rnacentral:rRNA from 1 species
UACGUAGGGGGCAAGCGUUGUCCGGAAUCAUUGGGCGUAAAGCGCGUGUAGGCGGCCCGGUAAGUCCGCUGUGAAAGUCGGGGGCUCAACCCUCGAAUGCCGGUGGAUACUGUCGGGCUAGAGUGCGGAAGAGGCGAGUGGAAUUCCUGGUGUAGCGGUGAAAUGCGUAGAUAUCAGGAGGAACACCGGUGGCGAAGGCGGGUCUCUGGGCAGUAACUGACGCUGAGACGCGAAAGCGUGGGGAGCAAACAGG